rnacentral:lncRNA from 1 species
AGUGUGGUGGAUAGUUUGGGUUAGGUCUGUAGGGGUUUCGAGGAUUUUUAGGGUUAGGGCUUGCGGCUUUUUUGUGUAAGGGCGGUAAGGGCUAGGGUUCCAGGGAGUGCUGUUAAAUGGAGUUCUCGACGACUCGGCCUCUGAUUGGCCGUGCCGGCUGUGCAGGGAAUGCUGGUAGGUGUAGUUUUCCGUCACAAGGCUUCCGGUAGGCCGCGUUGAUUGCCCAGAGCAUGCCGGGAAAUGUAGUUCUGGGACUCCGGACUUCCGGGAGGCCAUGUUGAGCGCCCAGAGCAUACCGGGAAAUGCAGUUCUCGGGGACUAGGGCUGGGGCUAGGGUUAGAGUUUAGGGUGAGGGUUGGGGUUAGGGUUAGGGGUUAGGGUUAGGGCUAGUGAAUGCUGGUUCUCUGUGUUUGCAGAUGACGGUGAGCGUGUUUAAACUAAUUCCAGUUGAAGAAGUUUCAGUUACUUGCUUGGUGACGUUAUCCGUUCAACAUUAAAAGCUGCAGCAAAAGCAAAAGGGGAGUUUUGCUUCUAGAAACACCACAGGUCUCUUGUCUGCUCUCGGAAUGUUUUUGAGAUAAACCAGAUCUUAAAAAAAAAAGGAAAAAAAAAAAACACAGCUGCUUCUUUUGCUCUCUUCCUACUUCCUUGUGCUUUGCCCCUCCCCUUUCCCAGGUGAUUGGGUUUGGGUGCUGGGCGGGGCUGAAUGCUAUAUGAGCCCCAGGCAUGCUAGCAGAGAGCUCCUUCUGCUUGGGCUGCUCUGUGGGAGGACUAAAACCAGCUUGAUUGAAUGCUACAUAUGGCUUGGCAGCGUAGAUGCAGCAUUACCAAGAGACUGAGCAGAGUUGUAUCAGAGUCACCUCUUUCAUCUGCAAAGGGUGCUUUGUGCGGUCGUGGACAGGAAAGGGAAAUCCUCGUGUCGCGGAGCAGUGAGGGAAGUAGAGCGUAAACCUUUGGAGGAACCUGUCACAGGAAAGAGCUCCUUCUGGAACUGUUCAGCACUCGCUGAAACACAGUGUACGACACGGGACUUGACGACCAGAGCUGCUUUUGGCAAGGGGUGUUGUAGCUGGCCUAAGAGAGCAGAUGGAAGCAUCUGCCUCGAGGGGAGGGGAGGGCACGGAGGUAAGGCAGCAGCUGAGAGUAACUGUCCCAGCUGUGCUGUGGCUUUGGAUGCUGCUUCAGCCUAUGCUUUUCUUUUUGUUUCACAUUUGUCUCACACAGGCUGA